GAUGAAGAACGCAGCGAAAUGCGAUACUUGGGGUGAAUUGCAGAAUCCCGUGAACCAUCGAGUCUUUGAACGCAAGUUGCGCCCGAAGCCAUCAGGUUGAGGGCACGUCUGCCUGGGCGUCACAUAUCGUUGCCCAAUGCCUAUUGCAGUGCAAUAGGAAUUUCUAGGGCGAAUGAUGGCUUCCCGUGAGCGUUGUUGCCUCGCGGUUGGUUGAAAAUCGAGUCCUUGGUAGGGUGUGCCAUGGUAGAUGGUGGUCGAGUUAGAACGAUACCGAUCAUGUGCAUGCUCCCCAAAAUAUGGCCUCUAUGACCCACACGCGUCUUUUGACGCUCAUGACGAGACCUCAGGUCAGGCGGGGCUACCCGCUGAAUUUAAGCAUAUCAAUAAGCGGAGGA
rnacentral:misc_RNA from 1 species